rnacentral:rRNA from 1 species
AUGAACGCUGGCGGCGUGCCUCAUACCUGCAAGUCGCGCGAACAGACGAGGAGCUUGCUCCUCUGACGUUAGCGGCGGACGGGUGAGUAACACGUGGAUAACCUACCUAUAAGACUGGGGUAACUUCGGGAAACCGGAGCUAAUACCGGAUAAUAUAUUGAACCGCAUGGUUCAAUAGUGAAAGACGGUUUUGCUGUCACUUAUAGAUGGAUCCGCGCCGCAUUAGCUAGUUGGUAAGGUAACGGCUUACCAAGGCAACGAUGCGUAGCCGACCUGAGAGGGUGAUCGGCCACACUGGAACUGAGACACGGUCCAGACUCCUACGGGAGGCAGCAGUAGGGAAUCUUCCGCAAUGGGCGAAAGCCUGACGGAGCAACGCCGCGUGAGUGAUGAAGGUCUUCGGAUCGUAAAACUCUGUUAUUAGGGAAGAACAAAUGUGUAAGUAACUAUGCACGUCUUGACGGUACCUAAUCAGAAAGCCACGGCUAACUACGU